rnacentral:lncRNA from 1 species
ACAUGCCGGAUCUUCGCCAUUAACGAAGCCAAACUGGAGAAGAAAGAUUGAAUCCAAGGCUCUGAAAUCAGAACAAGAAGCGAUAGCUCAUAGGACAGCAAGAAUCAUAGAACUGCCAAGGUUAGAAUAAAACCGGUGAUACGCCAGCGAAGACAGUGUAAAGGAAUCACCUCUUCCUGGAGACAAAAGCCGGCGAAAAUGGUGUUAUGUGAACCACUUUUUCCCAGAAACAACAGCCCCAGCCAUGGGAAGACAAAAGCCGGCGAAAAUGGUAUUAUGUGAACCACCUUUUCCCAGUAACUUUUUAUAAAAGUUAGACCUUAGUUUUUAGCUAUAUUAUAAAUAGUAGUUUGAUAUUUAAAAUAUUAGCUAAGAAACAUUAACAUAUUGUACAAACACAUGUAACUUAAUUAUUACAUGUGUUUCAAUAACAUAUUUAAUAAAAAAAAAAGUGUAAUUUUCGUUGUUUAUUUUAUGAAUAUGUGAUUUAAGAUUGAAUGUUUAUCAUUAAAGAUUAUAAGUUUAGGGUUUAGAAUAUAUUUAGAGUUUGAUGAGAUCAUAAGUUUAGAGUUUAAAGUUUGAGAGAAAUUUAUUAUAAGUUUUUGAUUUUAUUUGACACAUUAUGAGUUAUUUUAUUUGAAAAGAUUAUGAUUUAAGAUUUAGAUUUUAUGAUAGAAGAUAAAAAAUUAAGGGAUUAAGUUUUCUUUGAAUAGCUACAAAUUAUGUUGUAGCUAUGUAUUUCUACGAUUGUUUUCGAGGCCAUUCGUGGUUUUAUAUCUCUACAAUCUUUUUUGUGGUUAAUCGUGACUAUUUCUCCUUAAAUAGCCACAAGUUAAAAUUUAUAGCCAUUUAGCUACGAAAAUCCACAUACUAGCUACAAAUUGUGGAUUUUGAAAAUUGUGGCUGUUUUGUGGAUAUUUGUGGUGAAAAAAAAGCCACAAAACAAAAAUUUGUGGCUAAUUUGUAGCUAAUCAUAGUUUUUCUUGUAGUGAACAUCACUAUCACUAGUUUCCAAGAAAACUAAGUUAUCUCUUGCCAGAAGUUUCUGCGAAGUGACAAUUUCAGCAUAAGUGCAGAACUAUAUGUGAGGUAGUGGCAUUUGAGUUUGUUGUUUUACAUGUGGUGAAAAGGUCCAUUCACAGUUAUAGAUAUAACGAAUAGAAACAUACAUAUCAUGUUUUUCGAAAACACAAUUGACUCAAAUUGAAUAUUGAUUGAGCAUCUACCAAGAUCGCGGUUAUUCAAAAGAAUUAUAGUAUUAACAUUAUAUCAGAAUUUAAAGUAAAAAUAAAUUUUAUGUGUGUCAAAACAUGAUUAUCAAACUUAAUAUAUCUCGUGAUCAUUCUAAUAUAUUAGUUUAACAUCAUUUGGAUACUUACGCAAAAUUGGCCUUCAAAGUAAAACAUCAAAUGUUGAUACCUAAAGAGUAGAAACUCAGGGCUCAUUGGCCAUUAGAGCAUCAUCACUGGUUUAAUUUCUCAAUUAGUAUCUUACACAUAAAAUAAUAAUAUAAUUUAAUAUUUUCAUGAAAAUUUAAAUAAGAAAAAAAUAGUUUAGUUAUGUGAUAGACACGUAGUAGGACGUCUCUCAUAUUAUUAUUUUUUGUCAUCUAGUAUUUUAUUAAAGGACUAAAACCCAACAUUUACAUCAAACAUAAAGGCCAAACAUAGCUCAAACCAGAAAAACAUUCAAAUUAACCGGGGCUAAAGCCCAUACAAGAGACAAUGAGAAAGAUACCAGCUCCUCCCACCACGUGAAACACCCGUCAGACCGGAAGGCAUGAGCUUCCUCCGGAGACAGAGAGCAUGCAUGCCGGAUCUCCGCCAUUAGCGAAGCCAAACUGGAGAAGAAGGAUUGAAUCCAAGGCUCUGAAAUCAGAACAAGAGGUGAUAGCUCAUAGGACAGCGAGAAUCAUAGAACCGCCAAGGUUAGAAUAAAACCGGUGAUACGCCAGCGAAGACGGUGUAAAGGAAUCACCUCUUCCUGGAGACAAAAGCCGGCGAAAAUGGUAUUAUGUGAACCACCUUUUCCCAGAAACAACAGCCCCAACCAUGGGGAGACACAAUCCGAAACCAGAAAGAAAUCUGGUAAGGACACAACACUACAAAAGAGGAGCUCCUUCGAAUGGCCAGAACCUAAGAAAGAGAUUAGCAAUACAGACCAAAACGUCAACCACAAACGACUCAAACGAUAACGAUUUGACCAAAUCUGAUGGAAGAAUUAACAACCCACAUCAGAGACGACAUCAACCAGCAACCGUACACCAGAAAAAAUACAGAUUUGGUCAAAUCAAUCAAGCGAGCCUCCGCAGCGACGAAGAAAUCAAACCACACCAAAUCUUAGAGACUACUGAAGGAUCUUCUCAACACCUAAAGAAUUACACUUUUGACACAAGCAUAUAGCUACAACUGAGAUAGAAAAAAGGAAAAAAAAAACAGAUACAAGACGGAUCUUAAAAUAACCACACUGAGAAGAUUUACAAACAUAAAAGCACAGCUCCGACGCUACGGAAGCCGCCGGAGCUGCAAAUCUGAAAGCCUGAAAGUUUUUGGAGAAGAGAGAAGAUGGAGCGUUUUGCCCAUCAAUAUGAU